rnacentral:tRNA from 1 species
GCCAGUGUGGUGUAGUGGUUUCAGUGUUGGACUACAACUCUAGAGGCUAAGGUUUGAUUCCCUGCUUGACC